UACAGAGGUCUCAAGCGUUGUUCGGAUUCAUUGGGCGUAAGGUGCGUAGGCGGCGCGGUAAGUCGGGUGUGAAAUCUCGGAGCUUAACUCCGAAACUGCAUUCGAUACUGCCGUGCUUGAGGACUGGAGAGGAGACUGGAAUUUACGGUGUAGCGGUGAAAUGCGUAGAUAUCGUAAGGAAGACCAGUGGCGAAGGCGGGUCUCUGGACAGUUCCUGACGCUGAGGCACGAAGGCCAGGGGAGCAAACGGG
rnacentral:rRNA from 1 species